rnacentral:rRNA from 1 species
AUGGAGAGGGAUGUCUCCGGCAAGAAGGAGGUCACCAUCGCCGUCAACCCAGAGCAUGCUGUGUGGGUUACCCAGGACCAGCAGGCGCUUUCGUUUUUGAUCGCUUCCCUUUCUCGCGAAGUGCUCCUGUAGGUCAGCAUCUGCACGACGGCCGCCGCCACCUGGAGUGCUCUCCUUCAGAGCUUCUCCUCGCAAUCCCGCGCCCGCAUCAUCCAGCUUCGCAAUCAGAUCGGCCACACCAAGAAGGGCGAUCUUUCGGCGGCUGCCUACUUCACCAAGAUGAAGGGGCUCGCUGACGAACUUGCAGCUGCCGGGAGGCCCCUGGAUGAAGAUGAUGUCGUCUCUCACAUCAUCCAGGGGCUCAUGCACGAGCCGGAGUACAGCGGGUUCGUGUCCGCCGUCUCCACGCGCACCAUCACUGACCAGCCAAUCGGCCUAGGCGAGUUAUUCUCGCUGCUGCUUGCUGUUGAGUCACGCAUCGCCGCACAGACCUCCGCCUACUCCGCCAACCUCGCUACAAAAGGCGGAGGCCGUGGCAACUCCAACUAG